ensembl:rRNA 5S_rRNA 5S ribosomal RNA
CCUUGCAGCCCAAGACUGGUUGCCUGGUUAGUACCUGUAUGGGAAACCUCCUGGGAAAGCUAGGUUGCUGCUGGAA